AAAACUAUCAUUUGGAGACAGGAGGAAAGACUGAACAGAGAGAAGGAUGAAGGAGGGAUCAAAUACCGGUGUCAAUGGCCGCUGAUCCAAAGAGAGUUUCUACAGCACUUCUGCCAGAGGUCUGGAUGAGGGGGGCCUUCCGCCCUCCCCGAGGUCCUAUCCAGGCCUUUUCAAGGACGACUCGCUGCCACUGCCUUCCCGCCUUUGGGAAGGGACUGUGAGGACCUGAUGGAUGAGGACCCCAUUUUUCCCACAUGUUUGUGCUUGGGAGAGCCCAUUUGACUCCAUAGGCUUCGAUCUAAUAAAAGACCCGUAAUGGACUGAG